rnacentral:snRNA from 1 species
AUACUUACCUGGUGCAGGGGACACCAUGAUCCUCAAGGUGGUUCCCCCAUCGUGAGGCUUGCUCAUUGCACCUACGAGUGGGCUGACCGGUGCGAUCACCCCAAAUGUGGGUGACUCGGGCGCGUCAUUUUUGCUAGUGGGGGACUGCGUUCGCGCUAUCCCCUG